ACGAAGGGUGCAAGCGUUACUCGGAAUUACUGGGCGUAAAGCGUGCGUAGGUGGUUUGUUAAGUCUGAUGUGAAAGCCCUGGGCUCAACCUGGGAAUGGCACUGGAUACUGGCAAGCUAGAGUGUGGCAGAGGGUAGUGGAAUUCCCGGUGUAGCAGUGAAAUGCGUAGAGAUCGGGAGGAACACCGGUGGCGAAGGCGGCUAUCUGGACCGACAUUGACGCUGAGGCGCGAAAGCGUGGGGAGCAAACAGGA
rnacentral:rRNA from 1 species